UCCAAUCCUCCCUAUCCUUCCGUUCCGUUCCUCUUGUGAAGAUCUUCUGCGAGCAACGAUUUCGAGUAAUGCAUGUGAGCUGUGAAUUAUGAUAAAAAGUGUGACUUAAUUCUUAGGAAUUUCACAUUAUAUUUAAUUUUUGCAAAAUGUUUAAAAAAUUUGAUGAAAAAGAUCAUGUAUCUGGAGUUACACAGUUAAAAUCUUCUGUUCAAAAAGGUAUUCGCACGAAGCUACUGGAACAGUUCCCUUAUUUGGAUGAUUACAUGAAUCAGAUUCUUCCUAAGAAAGAAAAUCUUAGAGUUGUAAAGUGGUCCUUGUGUAAAUGCAAUUAGGAUUAUUUAGAAUAUCAAAAGCACUCCCGGGCUAUUUGCAUAAGGAGAGGAAAGUCUGUUAGCCAUGGCUUGAGACGAACUACCAGUAUGCAACAGUUUUAUCCUUCAGCUGCUGAAAGACACCCUGUAUCAUAAAAACAGUUUUUUAACCCAUCAUAAACCAUUGGCCAAAACAUGAGCAUUUCUU